rnacentral:lncRNA from 1 species
AUCGAAAGGAACUGACAUACCUUUAAGUGGAUAACGUAAUAAAAAGCUGUCUAAUUUAUCGCGAAGACUUCGCAUAACACUUAUUUCCGCUGCUACAUGUAAUUUGUCAGCUCCAUACGUCCAGUUGGGCAUUCCGCUGAACCAGCAUAGUCCAGCAUCAACACAAAGAUUGUAAAACCUUGAACCAAGCGGGCUAUUCAACAAAUUUUCAGCGAUACGAAGGCCAAAUGAAACAAAUUUGAAAUGAAGCUCCCUAGUUAAAACGUUCAGAUUGACUUCCAUUGAAGUGAUUUUCUUAAGUACGAAUUUCAUGAAAUGUACAAUAAGUUUAGCAGUCUGUCUAUCACCGUACCAGAAGCCCUCAAAAUUUCCUGCAAUUAGUUGCAACAACAAUAAGUGCGGUAUCAUUUGAGACAUAACCUUGUUUUUAUAGGACAAAAACGAAGCUCUUUCAGUCGGAGAAUAAGUCAUUGGAAGUGCCAACGGAGAUUUACUUUUGGCUGUCGAAAAGUAACCCCUUUUUUCGGUUACAAUUUCAUUUUUCCAGUUUCUAAUAAUAUUCGAAAUCAGAAAAGAACUGAAUGAGGGAACCUGGUUCAUCAUCCAAUUCCAUAAAGUGAUCCCGAGUUUGAACGAAGAAGGUGAAAAAUCAAGAAAUGGAAUACGAACAAUUUUUCGAGCCAAAACGGAGAAUUGAAAUAUAGGUUCUUGAACAGCAUGCGCGGCUGCUUUUCUAACCUCGUUACGAAGUCUUUGCGGAGAAACAGUAUUUCCCUGUAAUAUAUCAUCCUCUAAACUUUUAAGUGCUGCUAAAUGAGUUUCAAAAAGCUUGGAUUUUUCGUUCAAAAUAAGAUCUAUUCUAUCUGUUGACAUAUCCCCCUCAAUAUUCAAAAUAGAAUUGUCGACAUGAGAAUACCGUUGACGAAUGGUAUAUUCGGCCAUAAAUUCCGAGCUCGUAUCGGGAGUCCAAUUUCCAAAAGCAGGCAAAACAAAAUUGUCACGAUCAGAACUCACGAUUCGAGUGCCAAGCUCAACAGCAAGAGAUCGUCCAAGCUCAACGACUUCUAAAUCGUCAAAGUCCACAAAGUCUGCUAAAUAAGAUUCAAGCAAGUUCUUAACCUGGUAAGGAAUUGCUUUGGAAGAAUUUUGAAUCCAUGAUCUAGCAUGUCUAUUAAAUUGAAAUAGAACUUCUUCCCUGCAAGAGUAAAUAUCUGAAAGUAUUACACUCAAAUUAAGCUUAUUGGAUUUGUAUAAUAAUUGAGGGACAUACUGAUCAGUGCAUUCUUCAGUGCGAGCUUUCCAAAGAAGGCUGGAAAGCUCUAAAACACUAAACAGUAUUUCUUUGAUACCGAGUAAAUGAGGUAACGUCUCCAUAAUAUAAUUCAUACAUUCCAAAGCCAAUUGUCGUACACAAUCAACUCUAUUACAACAAAGACACAACAGUUUUUGAAAUUCGUCGAUAGUAGAAGAAGCAACUCUUCUUUCUUUGGACAAUGAUUCAACGAAAGAUGUUAAGUUAUAUAGGGCAAUAGCACGAAUAGAUUGGGGGAGUUGACUGUCUCUCAAAGAUGGAUCAAGCAAGUAUUCUACAAGCGCAGAAAGCUUAUUCGAUUUGCAACGCAAAGAUUCAAGUAAAAGGACAGCAGACAAGAAGCAAAUUUCUGAAGUACUCAAAGGCUUAAGAUCAAUGUUAGGGACCCUGACUAACAACUCUGAUUUAAUCUGAGAAAUGACUGAAUGCUCAAUAUGAGUCCUGAGGACUGUGUUUAGUUCCAAAUUGCUCUCAAAAUUGCUACCAAAAUCCUCAAAAACAAGAAGGGGAGAAUUUUUGGCAAUAUUUUCAAGGUCAACUUCUAGUGUUUCACCUAAAUCAACUGAAUAACGGAAACGAUUUAUGACUAAAGUAAACCACAUGUCACGGAACAGUGCAGGAUACAUUUCUUCCUUGGGCAAACUGCUCCAAUCAGUACCUGCAACACACUCGACUAAAGCCUGGACGGCUUUAGACAUGCCAAAAUAAUAUCCUUUCAGUUCAGGGGCAGGUGUAUCACGAACGAUACCUAUAUGGAUAAUCUCCUCUAGAAGACUUUUCAACAAAUCUGACCUCUUGAAAGAGUUAGAUUCCGUACCUCUAGCGAUCAAACAGCGGGAAUCACAAAUAGCAAUUGUCAGAGCUUCAUCACCGUUCUUCACGAGCAUUUUGUUUUGAAUAGAAUAAAACUGAACCAAUAUUGAAAAGUCACGAUCAUUAGCUUUAGUGGAUAUAUCUGCUAGUGUUCUCACUAAUUCAGUACUCACCCUCGAGUCGAAUUUUCUUGAGAACUUUUGUAUCAACAAAGAAAUAGCUAAUCCAUAAAUUUUCUCAUCGUUAACUGUCAAAGCAAUUUCACGAACAGAAUCUAUAACAUUCAAAUAGUUUGAAAUUGUAUUUACCGUUGCAGUUUGUGAAGAAGAACUAGACAUAUUGUCACUAAUAGAAAGGCGUUCUUUUGGAGCUGCAAGAUAACUAUCAGGAGUGUCAGCAGGAGACAGCAAGUUGGCAAACUGGUAUAUUGAAGUGAUAGCAGUAUCUCUUGAGGAAUAGUUGAAAAGUUGAGCAAGCUUUCUAGAGGCUAAUUGAGCAUAAGUCACAUUACCAUCAUCAAAGCGGGGGGCAUAAAUAGCGAUUAAACGCAAUCUUUUCAUAGCAAACUGAAAAUGAGUGGGGAAAACACAGGCCAACGAAGCCAUAAGUUCAAUUAAAUGAGGUAAGAGCUCCGGAUCUUCAGAUAUGGAACCUAACAACACAUUAAUCCAAUCACUAUAUGUGUAUGGAACAAAACCAAUGUAGGAGGAGGAUAGAAGUGCCAAUUUUAGUACGAGUACAAAAAAUAAAUUGCAUGAAGUACCCAACUUCUCUUGAAGUCUCAAGGUCCCAGUUUUUGACAAAAACUUAUCACUAAGGUUUAAGAUGCUUUGGAAUUGCGUUAAAAACGGCUUCUCCUCCGGAGAAGAAGGGCGAUGUUUCACAAUAUCCCAAAAUGAGGUAGCAUCUUCAUACCAAAGGCAACCAGAAGAAUUGAUGUAUGCUUUCAUAGAUGAAAGGUAAAGGUAAUAGCUCAACCCAAACCCAGCAUAGUAAUUGGAAUGGUGAAGAAAAGAAUCAUUAUGAAGGUCUAUUAAUUUACACGGAAGGUCUGAGACGAGUAUCGUGUUACAAACCUCCAUUGCCCAUAAACACGCGUCUUGCGGCAAAGCUGAUAUGCAAGCAUCGGCUAUUUCUUCAAAAAAGAAACCAAGGUGGGAGGCAUAAAACACUUUCUCAAAGAUUGUCGUUUUAGUAUGAGUUGGAUUAUUAUUUGACGAAUGAGGAGUAUUUAGAAUACGAGUUAGUGCCAAAAAAAUGCUAUUCAAAAACUUCACUAUAUCGGAAGAUAAUUCUCUAUGCUGCCUGACAAGCGCUAAAAGCGCCUUAAGAAUACAUGGGCAAAUAUUCGCAGUCAGUGGUAAAAGAUUAGGAUAGACAGAUUCAUCAAGUGAGCAUAAAACACUUUUGUACUCCGAGGUAUCUUCCAAAAAUAGAUAAUUCAGCAAGUAAAAGCGAAGCUGUUGGAACAAAGUCAAGGCAUUUUCAGAGGCUUUGUUUUCCAAAGUAACUUCACAAAUUGACAAGACAGUGUCCUCAAUUCUUUGGGCCUUAAAUAGCUUAGAAUCUGCUUCAAGCAAUUUUGAGUAACGAUUACUUGAUUGUACGAACAGAUUCCAACCGUGAUCGGGAAGGCAGCCAAGUUUUCGUAAAGAUUCCCUUCUGAUUGAUUUAUCGAUGCUAAUAAUAAUUAGUAGACUGUGCAUUCGAAAGGGGAAAAAAUAAAACCACUUACCAAUCC